rnacentral:rRNA from 1 species
GACGAACGCUGGCGGCGUGCUUAACACAUGCAAGUCGAACGGAAAGGCCCUGCUUUUGUGGGGUGCUCGAGUGGCGAACGGGUGAGUAACACGUGAGUAACCUGCCCUGACUUUGGGAUAACUUCAGGAAACUGGGGCUAAUACCGGAUAGGAGCUCCUGCUGCAUGGUGGGGGUUGGAAAGUUUCGGCGGUUGGGGAUGGACUCGCGGCUUAUCAGCUUGUUGGUGGGGUAGUGGCUUACCAAGGCUUUGACGGGUAGCCGGCCUGAGGGGGUGACCGGCCACAUUGGGACUGAGAUACGGCCCAGACUCCUACGGGAGGCAGCAGUGGGGAAUAUUGCACAAUGGGCGGAAGCCUGAUGCAGCAACGCCGCGUGCGGGAUGACGGCCUUCGGGUUGUAAACCGCUUUCGCCUGUGACGAAGCGUGAGUGACGGUAAUGGGUAAAGAAGCACCGGCUAACUACGUG